rnacentral:rRNA from 1 species
GAUGAACGCUGGCGGCGUGCCUAAUACAUGCAAGUCGAGCGAACAGACGAGGAUCUUGCUCCUCUCACGUUAGCGGCGGACGGGUGAGUAACACGUGGAUAACCCACCUAUAAGACUUAGCUAACUGCGGGAAACCCGAGCUAAUACCGGAUAAUCUAGUGAACCGGAGGGGUCUGUAGAGAAAGACGGGUUUGGGGUCACUUAUCGAUGUAUCGGCGCGGCAUUAGCUUGUUGGUAAGGUAACGGCUUACCAAGGCAACGAUGUGUGGCCGGCCUGAGAGGGUGAUCGGCCACAGUGGGAGUGCGACACCGUCGAGACUCCUACGCGAGGCAGACGUAGGGAAUAUGCAGCAAUGGGGGAAAGCGUGAAAGAGGAACGCGGCGUGAGCGAUGAAGGUCUUCGGGUCGUAAAACUCUGUUAUUAGGGAAGAACAAAUGCGUAAGUAACUAUGCACGUCUAGACGGUACCUAAUAAGAGCGCCACCGAUAACUACG